UACGUAGGGCGCAAGCGUUAUCCGGAAUUAUUGGGCGUAAAGAGCUCGUAGGCGGUUUGUCGCGUCUGCCGUGAAAGUCCGGGGCUCAACUCCGGAUCUGCGGUGGGUACGGGCAGACUAGAGUGAUGUAGGGGAGACUGGAAUUCCUGGUGUAGCAGUGAAAUGCGUAGAGAUCAGGAGGAACACCGAUGGCGAAGGCAGGUCUCUGGGCAUUAACUGACGCUGAGGAGCGAAAGCAUGGGGAGCGAACAGG
rnacentral:rRNA from 1 species